ensembl:lncRNA
CUUCACUGGCUACAUCUUGCUGAUCUUGAUUUUGUCUGGAAUUAGCUACAGAUUAAUCUGGCAGUGAUUGAGCACCUGGUGGGAAGGCAGGGCCAACCCAGGGGAGCUCAGGUGUAUGCAGUGUACCUGAGUGACUGGAAGGAGUAGAGCCAGCAUCCAUCCCUUUCCAGUCCUCAUCUACGGGUUGGCAGUGGAGGUGAGGGCAUCUUGUUGGAGAUCUCUGUGUACCUGAGCCCUUCUAAGGAAUUCCUCAGCUCAUCUCAGACAGAAGUUUAAACACUUGAUCCACAAUCAACAUUUGAGAAUGAGAAAGGUGGAGGUAUUGCCAUAUACAUUCUAUAGGGGGAGGGAGAAUGAAGGGAAGUGUUUAUCAACACCCAUGCAAAAGAACACUGGUGCAG